UGCUUCUUUGCUGACGAGUGGCGGACGGGUGAGUAACGCGUGGGAAUCUACCUGAUAGUUGGGGAUAGCCCGGAGAAAUCCGGAUUAAUACCGAAUAAGUUCUACGGAAGAAAAGGUGCCUCUGCUUGCAAGCACUUGCUAACAGAUGAGCCCGCGUUAGAUUAGUUUGUUGGUGGGGUAACGGCCUACCAAGACUGCGAUCUAUAGCUGGUUUGAGAGGAUGAUCAGCCACAUUGGGACUGAGACACGGCCCAGACUCCUACGGGAGGCAGCAGUGGGGAAUAUUGGACAAUGGGCGCAAGCCUGAUCCAGCAAUACCGCGUGUGUGAAGAAGGCCUUCGGGUUGUAAAGCACUUUUAUGUAGGAAGAACGGUUGUGGGUUAAUAGCCCAUGACUUUGACGGUACUACAAGAAUAAGCACCGGCUAACUCCGUGCCAGCAGCCGCGGUAAUACGGAGGGUGCGAGCGUUAAUCGGAAUUACUGGGCGUAAAGGGUACGUAGGCGGCUUGAUAAGUCAGAUGUGAAAUCCCCGGGCUUAACCUGGGAACUGCAUUUGAAACUGUCUGGCUAGAGUGAGUGAGAGGUUAGUGGAAUUCAAGGCGUAGCGGUGAAAUGCGUAGAGGUCUUGAGGAACAUCAGUGGCGAAGGC
rnacentral:rRNA from 1 species